GGGGCAGUAGCUCAGUUGGUAGAGCAUCACGUUCGCAACGUGGGGGUCGUGAGUUCGAAUCUCAUCUGCUCCACCA
rnacentral:tRNA from 1 species